rnacentral:rRNA from 1 species
GUUGAACGCUGGCGGCGUGCCUAACACAUGCAAGUCGAACGAAGCACCUUACCUGAUUCUUCGGAUGAAAGUUUGGUGACUGAGUGGCGGACGGGUGAGUAACGCGUGGGUAACCUGCCCUGUACAGGGGGAUAACAGCUGGAAACGGCUGCUAAUACCGCAUAAGCGCACGAGGAGACAUCUCCUUGUGUGAAAAACUCCGGUGGUACAGGAUGGGCCCGCGUCUGAUUAGCUGGUUGGCAGGGUAACGGCCUACCAAGGCAACGAUCAGUAGCCGGUCUGAGAGGAUGAACGGCCACAUUGGAACUGAGACACGGUCCAAACUCCUACGGGAGGCAGCAGUGGGGAAUAUUGCACAAUGGGGGAAACCCUGAUGCAGCAACGCCGCGUGAGUGAAGAAGUAUUUCGGUAUGUAAAGCUCUAUCAGCAGGGAAGAUAAUGACGGUACCUGACUAAGAAGCUCCGGCUAAAUACGUG